rnacentral:rRNA from 1 species
GUAGGCAACCUGCCCUCAAGACUGGGAUAACUACCGGAAACGGUAGCUAAUACCGGAUACUCCUGAAGAGAGAAUCAAAGCGGAGCAAUCUGCCACUUGGGGAUGGGCCUGCGGCGCAUUAGCUAGUUGGUGGGGUAAUGGCUCACCAAGGCGACGAUGCGUAGCCGACCUGAGAGGGUGAACGGCCACACUGGGACUGAGACACGGCCCAAACUCCUACGGGAGGCAGCAGUAGGGAAUCUUCCGCAAUGGGCGACAGCCUGACGGAGCAAUGCCGCGUGAGUGAUGAAGGUUUUCGGAUCGUAAAGCUCUGUUGCCAGGGAAGAACGUCCGGUAGAGUAACUGCUACCGUAGUUACGGUACCUGAGAAGAAAGCCCCGGCUAACUACGUGCCAGCAGCCGCGGUAAUACGUAGGGGGCAAGCGUUGUCCGGAAUUAUUGGGCGUAAAGCGCGCGCAGGCGGUCAUUUAAGUCUGGUGUUUAAACCUUGGGCUCAACCUGAGGUCGCACUGGAAACUGGGUGACUUGAGUACAGAAGAGGAAAGUGGAAUUCCACGUGUAGCGGUGAAAUGCGUAGAUAUGUGGAGGAACACCAGUGGCGAAGGCGACUUUCUGGGCUGUAACUGACGCUGAGGCGCGAAAGCGUGGGGAGCAAACAGGAUUAGAUACCCUGGUAGUCCACGCCGUAAACGAUGAGUGCUAGGUGU